GAUGAAGAACGUAGUGAAAUGCGAUAACUAAUGUGAAUUGCAGAAUUCAGUGAAUCAUCGAGUCUUUGAACGCACAUUGCGCCCCCUGGUAUUCCGGGGAGCAUGCCUGUCCGAGCGUCAUUGCUGCCCUCAAGCACGGCUUGUGUGUUGGGCUCCGUCCCCCCGGGGAUGGGCCCGAAAGGCAGCGGCGGCACCGAGUCCGGUCCUCGAGCGUAUGGGGCUUUGUCACCCGCUCUGUAGGCCCGGCCGGCGCCAGCCGACAACCCAUCAUCCUUUUCAGGUUGACCUCGGAUCAGGUAGGGAUACCCGCUGAACUUAAGCAUAUCAAUAAGCGGAGGA
rnacentral:misc_RNA from 1 species